UAAAACCUCAACAUACACUCUCAUUUCAUUGUAAAUUUUUAAGAGUGAUGUAGUUAUUCUUUAGGUGAGCUCAUAGUGUGGGUUUUUUCUAGUGGUAUAUUUUGUGUCUGUUUAAUGGGCUGAAGAAAAUAAGAAUUUGUACAGGCAAAUUCUGAUUUUGUAAAUUCUGACUCCACUAUUUACAGUCCCAGGACUUGGAAGCUGACAGUUUGCUUGGAUGUUCUCUACUUUGUCUGUUUACAUAUAUGAAGUUAAACGUUACAGUAGUAUAUGUGUAUGUACAUUUAUGCUUAUUUUUAUGAUUUGUAUAUAGGUUUAUGAUACUUAUAUUUUUAACUUUUCUUUAGCUUUGAUGUGUUACUUUAGGCUGAUUAUUUGACUCCUUUGUGCUUGCAUUUCUUCAUGAUGAUUAUUUACAGGGAUAUUUUGGCAGUAAUUAAUGAUUUUUAACAUUAAUUGAAAUUUUCAGAAAUUUCAGAAAGCAUUAAAUAUUUGUCUUUUUUGCCCCUUUUCUCAUA
rnacentral:lncRNA from 1 species